CCUACGGGUGGCAGCAGUGAGGAAUAUUGGUCAAUGGACGCAAGUCUGAACCAGCCAUGCCGCGUGCAGGAAGACGGCUCUAUGAAUUGUAAGCUGCUUUUGUACGAGGGUAAACGCAGAUACGCGUAUCUGUCUGAACGGAUCGUACGAACAAGGAUCGGCUAACUCCGUGCAUGCAGCCGCGGUAAUACGGAGGAUUCAAGCGUUAUCCGGAUUUAGUGGGUUUAAAGGGUGCGUAGGCGGUCGGUUAAGUUAGAGGUUAAAUCCCGAGGCUCAACUUCGGAAUUGCCUCUGAUACGGUUCGGCUAGAGAGUAGUUGCGGUAGGCGGAAUGUAUGGUGUAGCGGUGAAAUGCUUAGAGAUCAUACAGAACACCGGUUGCGAAGGCAGCUUACCAAGCUACUUCUGACGUUGAGGCACGAAAGCGUGGGGAGCAAACAGGAUUAGAUACCCCUGUAGUC
rnacentral:rRNA from 1 species